GAGAGAGGCUCGUCAGCAUUGGAGACUGCUAAUCUUCACCACCUUGGUUAGACCCCAAGGCUCUGCUC
rnacentral:tRNA from 1 species